AAGAAAAAUUGUUGGAUUUCAAGGAAUCAAGCAAGUAAAGGUAUAGGUGGUGAGCCCCCUGGUAAGAGUAAGGAUAUCGUACCCGAGGACCAAGAAUAGGAGUACUCCAUCCUCCCGUUAAGCUUACUGCAGUGGGCGGGUUUUCGUGGACCAGCCUAUG